AUGACGGUGAUCGACAUCCUGACGCGGGUGGACGCCAUCUGCCAGAAGUACGACAAGUACGACGCCGAGAAGCUCAACGGCGCCAACGUCGCCGGCGAGGACCCCUUCGCCCGCCUCUACGGCUCCGUCGACGCGGAGAUCUCGCAGUGCGUCGAGAAAGCGGAGGCGGCGAGGCAGGAGAAGAACCGGGCCACGGUCGUCGCGCUCAACGCCGAGAUCCGCCGCGCCAAGGCCAAGCUCCUCGAGGAGGACCUGCCCAAGCUGCAGCGCCUCGCGCUCAAGAAGGUCAAAGGGCUCACAAAGGAGGAACUUGCGACCCGUAGUGAUCUGGUUGCCGCCUUACUUGAUAGAAUUCAAUCAAUACCGGAUGGUAGUUCUAGUGCGACAAAGAAAAAUGGAGGUUGGGGAGCCUCAGGAUCCCGUCCUGGUGGAGGCGUCAAGUUCGACUCUACUUCUGAUGGAAACUUUGAUGAUGAGUACUUUAAGGGGACUGAAGAAUCAAAUAAAUUUCGUCAGGAAUAUGAGAUGCGUAGAAUGAAGCAGGAUGAAGGUUUGGAUGUUAUCGGUGAAGGGCUGGCAACUCUGAAGAACAUGGCGUCGGAUAUGAAUGAGGAAUUGGAUAGGCAAGUUCCCUUGAUGGAUGAAAUGGAUGACAAGGUGGAUAGAGCCAAUGCAGAUCUGAAGAAUACCAACGUGAGGCUAAAGCAGACCAUUCUUCAGAUGAGAUCCAGUCGCAACUUCUGCGUCGACAUUAUCCUGCUCUGUAUCAUACUUGGUAUCGCUGCCUACCUUUACAAUGUGCUCAAGAAGUGA
rnacentral:rRNA from 1 species